GCAGGACUCUCGUCGUCUCCUUCACAUCUGCUUUCUUUGCAUCCAUUCCAGAGCUCUCUAGUCAAAGACAUGGACGGCUUUCUUGGAAAAUUCCUCUUCGUGGUGGUUGCUGUCACACUCGCUACGCUGAUUAUGGCCCCAAAUGAAGCUGGGGCAAUUCCACCGUAUGUCAUCGACGCCAUGGGACGAAAUGAAGAACAUGUCGAGUAGCGAAGCAUCAGUGUGGCUGAUUUGCGUUCCACUAGUUACGCCUGCUUCGUAAUUCGUAACUGAAUAAAAUGAAUGAAGGGAAAAAUUGCUUGGAGUGAAUGAGCAACGGUAUAUCAUUGGAGACAAACUUUCCCUUCUAUGCCAAGGUCACUUUUUUAAACUUCUGUUUAUGUAAUCGCUCUUUGAAGCGCUGCUAUGCACACAUCUUUUAUUCUGUUCCGGCGUCGCAUUGCGAAAGAGGCUUUCUUUCUUACAUUAUUCCGCGCUAUAGUUUGAUUUGACUUUCAAAUCUUCUCUUUGUACAUACGUGUUUUGCACAUUAUUACACAAGCCGCAGCGUCCUCGCAUUGCAUUAUACCUGAAGUGAAAUUAAAAAAAAAAAAAAAACGUCUCUGCAUCGCAUGCGCGUGUGAGUUACGUUGCUAAGCGAAUAACUUUUCUUAACGCUUUGCUAACUGUAUUCGCUAUUACACAGCUAGACGCUUCUCGUUCAAUGCAUGGUCUGAUUUAACUUUUCACAAAUAACAUCUUUAUACUCGGGUGCUUCGGUUACACACUUCGCUUCUCUAUAGCCGACUACUUGUUUGGGCUAGUUGGUUACAAUUCAUGAUCGAUGUUAUUUGCGCACCACUUGGAACGAACACUGGGAGAACUGGAACAUUGCGCUUGUGUCUCCCG